CUUCCGUAGCGUAACCUGCGGAGGGAUCAUUACACAAAUAUGAAGGCGGGCUGGAACCUCUCGGGGUUACAGCCUUGCUGAAUUAUUCACCCUUGUCUUUUGCGUACUUCUUGUUUCCUUGGUGGGUUCGCCCACCACUAGGACAAACAUAAACCUUUUGUAAUUGCAAUCAGCGUCAGUAACAAAUUAAUAAUUACAACUUUCAACAACGGAUCUCUUGGUUCUGGCAUCGAUGAAGAACGCAGCGAAAUGCGAUAAGUAGUGUGAAUUGCAGAAUUCAGUGAAUCAUCGAAUCUUUGAACGCACAUUGCGCCCUUUGGUAUUCCAAAGGGCAUGCCUGUUCGAGCGUCAUUUGUACCCUCAAGCUUUGCUUGGUGUUGGGCGUCUUGUCUCUAGCUUUGCUGGAGACUCGCCUUAAAGUAAUUGGCAGCCGGCCUACUGGUUUCGGAGCGCAGCACAAGUCGCACUCUCUAUCAGCAAAGGUCUAGCAUCCAUUAAGCCUUUUUUUCAACUUUUGACCUCGGAUCAGGUAGGGAUACCCGCUGAACUUAAGCAUAUCAAUAAG
rnacentral:rRNA from 1 species